CAAUAAGCGGAGGAAAAGAAACCAACAGGGAUUGCCUCAGUAACGGCGAGUGAAGCGGCAACAGCUCAAAUUUGAAAUCUGGCCCCAGGCCCGAGUUGUAAUUUGCAGAGGAUGCUUUUGGUGAGGUGCCUUCCAAGUUCCCUAGAACGGGACGCCAGAGAGGGUGAGAGCCCCGUACAGUUGGACACCGAGCCUUUGUAAAGCUCCUUCGACGAGUCGAGUAGUUUGGGAAUGCUGCUCAAAAUGGGAGGUAUAUUUCUUCUAAAGCUAAAUACCGGCCAGAGACCGAUAGCGCACAAGUAGAGUGAUCGAAAGAUGAAAAGCACUUUGAAAAGAGGGUUAAACAGCACGUGAAAUUGUUAAAAGGGAAGCGCUUGUGACCAGACUUGCGUCCGGUGAAUCACCCAGCUCUCGCGGCUGGGGCACUUCGCCGGCUCAGGCCAGCAUCAGCUCGCUGUCGGGGACAAAAGCUUCAGGAACGUAGCUCUCUUCGGGGAGUGUUAUAGCCUGUUGCAUAAUACCCUUCGGCGGGCUGAGGUACGCGCUCCGCAAGGAUGCUGGCAUAAUGG
rnacentral:rRNA from 1 species